UCUGGUGUCAGCCGCCGCGGUAAUACCAGCUCUCCGAGUGGUAGGGAUGAUUAUUGGGCUUAAAGCGUCCGUAGCCGGCUUAGCAAGUCUCCUGUUAAAUUCAGCGACCUAAUCGUUGAGCCGCGGGAGAUACUACCAGGCUAGGAGGCGGGAGAGGCCGACGGUAUUCUCGGGGUAGGGGUGAAAUCCUAUAAUCCCGGGAGGACCACCAGUGGCGAAGGCUGUCGGCUAGAACGCGCUCGACGGUGAGGGACGAAAGCUGGGGGAGCGAACCGGAUUAGAUACCCGGGUAGUCCCAGCUGUAAACGAUGCGGGCUAGGUGUUGGGGUGGCUACGAGCCACUUCAGUGCCGCAGGGAAGCCAUUAA
rnacentral:rRNA from 1 species